ACGUACACUCCUGCGGGAGGCAGCAGUGGGGAAUAUUGGACAAUGGGCGCAAGCCUGAUCCAGCCAUGCCGCGUGAGUGAUGAAGGCCCUAGGGUUGUAAAGCUCUUUCACCGGUGAAGAUAAUGACGGUAACCGGAGAAGAAGCCCCGGCUAACUUCGUGCCAGCAGCCGCGGUAAUACGAAGGGGGCUAGCGUUGUUCGGAUUUACUGGGCGUAAAGCGCACGUAGGCGGACUAUUAAGUCAGGGGUGAAAUCCCGGGGCUCAACCCCGGAACUGCCUUUGAUACUGGUAGUCUUGAGUUCGAGAGAGGUGAGUGGAAUUCCGAGUGUAGAGGUGAAAUUCGUAGAUAUUCGGAGGAACACCAGUGGCGAAGGCGGCUCACUGGCUCGAUACUGACGCUGAGGUGCGAAAGCGUGGGGAGCAAACAGGAUUAGAAACCCUAGUAGUCUCAUGA
rnacentral:rRNA from 1 species